AACGAACGCUGGCGGCAGGCUUAACACAUGCAAGUCGAAUGCCCCCUUCGGGGGGAGUGGCAGACGGGUGAGUAACGCGUGGGAACCUACCCAAUGGUACGGAAUAACGCAGGGAAACUUGUGCUAAUACCGUAUAAGCCCUUCGGGGGAAAGAUUUAUCGCCAUUGGACGGGCCCGCGUCGGAUUAGCUAGUUGGUGAGGUAAUGGCUCACCAAGGCGACGAUCCGUAGCUGGUCUGAGAGGAUGAUCAGCCACACUGGGACUGAGACACGGCCCAGACUCCUACGGGAGGCAGCAGUGGGGAAUAUUGGACAAUGGGGGAAACCCUGAUCCAGCCAUGCCGCGUGGGUGAAGAAGGCCUUAGGGUUGUAAAUCCCUUUCAGCGGGGAAGAUAAUGACGGUACCCGCAGAAGAAGCCCCGGCUAACUCCGUGCCAGCAGCCGCGGUAAUACGGAGGGGGCUAGCGUUGUUCGGAAUUACUGGGCGUAAAGCGCACGUAGGCGGGCUGUUAAGUCAGUGGUGAAAUCCCGGGGCUCAACCUCAGAAUUGCCUCUGAUACUG
rnacentral:rRNA from 1 species